UAUCAUUAAGCGGAGGAAAAGAAACUAACCAGGAUUGACCUAGUAAGGGCGACUGAAGCGUCACAAGCUCACCAUGUGAAUCUGCGCCCUCUUGUAGGACGCCGAAUUGUGGUCUGGAAGCGUUUGCGCCACUGGUCGGACCAAGUCCCUUGGAACAGGGCAGCUAAGAGGGUGACACUCCCGUACGUCCGACUGGGUAGCGAGCGUUAACGAGUCGAGUUGUUUGGGAUUGCAGCUCUAAGUAGGUGGUAAAUUCCAUCCAAAGCUAAAUAUUGGUGGGAGACCGAUAGCGAACAAGUACCGUGAGGGAAAGAUGCAAAGAACUUUGAAAAGAGAGUUAAAGAGUACCUGAAAUUGCUGUAAGGGAAGCGAAGGAAAGCAGUGCGAGCUCGGUCAUACUUCCCCUUGCGCUUGCGGAAGGGGCGCUGUGUCCAGCGUUGUCCCGUUCCAUUGUGUUACAGCCCAAACGGCCCGGAGGGAGUUGACCUCUGACGCCUGGCGCUAGACGCGAUGGAAUCGGGACGAAAUGCCUUUCUUCUCCCCGUCUAGAAACACGGACCAAGGAGUCUAASAUAUGUGCGAGUACUGGGGCGACAACCCCCCRUGCGAAAUGAAAGUGAUAGUGGCUGCARGGCGUCAAACACCUGCACAGUCCGCCGGCCUCAAUCCCUCGGGAGAACGGUMUGAGUGUGAGCAUACAUGUUGGGACCCGAAAGAUGGUGAACUAUGCUUGAGUAGGGUCAAGCCAGGGGAAACUCUGGUGGAGGCUCGUAGCGAUUGUGACGUGCAAAUCGAUCGUCAAACUUGAGUAUAGGGGCGAAAGACUAAUCGAACUAUCUAGUAGCUGGUUCCCUCCGAAAUU
rnacentral:rRNA from 1 species